GACGAACGCUGGCGGCGUGCCUAAUACAUGCAAGUAGAACGCACAGUAUAUACCGUAGCUUGCUACACCAUAGACUGUGAGUUGCGAACGGGUGAGUAACGCGUAGGUAACCUGCCUGGUAGCGGGGGAUAACUAUUGGAAACGAUAGCUAAUACCGCAUAAUAUUAAUUAUUGCAUGAUAAUUGAUUGAAAGAUGCAACUGCAUCACUACCAGAUGGACCUGCAUUGUAUUAGCUAGUAGGUGAGGUAACGGCUCACCUAGGCGACGAUACAUAGCCGACCUGAGAGGGUGAUCGGCCACACUGGGACUGAGACACGGCCCAGACUCCUACGGGAGGCAGCAGUAGGGAAUCUUCGGCAAUGGACGAAAGUCUGACCGAGCAACGCCGCGUGAGUGAAGAAGGUUUUCGGAUCGUAAAGCUCUGUUGUAAGAGAAGAACGGGUGUGAGAGUGGAAAGUUCACACUGUGACGGUAUCUUACCAGAAAGGGACGGCUAACUACGUGCCAGCAGCCGCGGUAAUACGUAGGUCCCGAGCGUUGUCCGGAUUUAUUGGGCGUAAAGCGAGCGCAGGCGGUUAGAUAAGUCUGAAGUUAAAGGCUGUGGCUUAACCAUAGUACGCUUUGGAAACUGUUUAACUUGAGUGCAGAAGGGGAGAGUGGAAUUCCAUGUGUAGCGGUGAAAUGCGUAGAUAUAUGGAGGAACACCGGUGGCGAAAGCGGCUCUCUGGUCUGUAACUGACGCUGAGGCUCGAAAGCGUGGGGAGCGAACAGG
rnacentral:rRNA from 1 species